UAGACGUUAAAUUCGAUAUGCUAUAAAACUGGUUUUAAACUUUCUUUUCCUUUUCUCUUUACUCGUCAGGUGAAGACGACAUGCUCACAUUGACCUGACUUGUCAGGUCUGGGUGUAAACACCAGCUACCAUGUCUGUCCAGGAAGCAUCCCAACGGCCCACGUCGCCUAAACCCCUCAAACCUGAGCCCAAACCGAGACUGGAGAUCCCUCCAAAACCGACACCACAAACCAGCUGCCCUCCUCUGGGAGACCGCGGCAUCAGCACGAGGCUUUCUGGAGGAAAGGUCAAGAGGAUUGUGAACAAGUUCAGCAUACAGGAUUCGAAUGAACCGGCGGAACAACCCACCAAUGGUACUGCAAAACUAAGGUCAAUUAAACGGUUCAAAAGGCCGCCUACGGUAAAGCCCAAACCAGGCCGUGCCAGUCUGCAGCUUCAGAUUAGCGGAGAGAAAGCGCCUCCGCUGCCUGUUAAGAGGAGCCGCACCCUUCAGAAGCAGGAGGGUGGGGGUGCAGAGGAGGGGGACACCAUCAGUGUGGAAGGAGGUCGAUCAGCGCCUGAUGGAAAAGAGGUGGAGAUCCAGUUGAUUGGAGGAGGUGAAGCGGAGGCGGAACACAGUCCUCACACACCUAAUCUCAGUCCAUGCUGCGACCCGGGCUGCAGCUGCGCGUGCCACCUCCAGUGGCCUGGCAUGAAACUAAUAUGGGUGCCCGUGGAGAUGCAUGAUGGUGGGGAGGAGCACAGUGUUGUAGGAGACGAGGAUGAGACUGAUGUGGAAGAGCAGAGAUGGGAGGACGAGGAGGUAGAGGGGGGAGGGGAGAGGGACAGCGAGGCAGAGGAUGAGGUGGACCGGACGUCUUUGGUUGACGAGAGUGAAGUGUCGAAACAAGAAAAGUCAAAGUUUCACCAGUGUUUGGAGGUUUUGCUCGGUGAUGGUAACCGGAGGCUUUCAGACCCGGGCCCUCACUCUGUUUUCACCUCUCUCGCUGUCACUCGCUCUCAGUCUCCCCCUGUUCCCCCAAAACGGGCUCAGUCACCACAAAUCCACCACUUAUCCACCCAAAACGAAGAAGAAAAUAUUUACGAGGACACCCUUCCAGCGGUCGACCCCACUCCUAAAAAGCCCAAUGUGUGUAAGGAACUGGAUAUUCCACUAAUCAAAGUGCGCAAACCAGCUCGACGGUCUAAACUGUCCUACAGCACCUCAGACCAGACGUCCGAGUUUCAUACGAACACAGAACCCAUCUUGAACCCAGACAAUAUGCCGCCUGCCAUCCCGCCGAGGAUGCCUGUGGGUCAUGACAGCCGCAGCCUCACAAUGGCACCCCGGGGCGGCGUUCCUCUCCCCCAGCCCACACUAGAGGAGUGGCGCACCUUGCGGCCCUCAUCCCCCAGCAGCUCCACUGCCAGCGUGCUGAGCACCCAGAGGGACAUCACUCCGACCCCACCCAACCCUCACAGACCCCCACCUCCACCACCAAAGACGGAUCCCAGGAGGCUUAGUAGUGCCUCACUGCAAUCCCUCACACAGAAAAAAG
rnacentral:lncRNA from 1 species